AGUGAACGCUGGCGGUAGGCCUAACACAUGCAGGUCGAACGGCAGCACAGUAAGAGCUUGCUCUUACGGGUGGCGAGUGGCGGACGGGUGAGGAAUACAUCGGAAUCUACUUUUUCGUGGGGGAUAACGUAGGGAAACUUACGCUAAUACCGCAUACGACCUACGGGUGAAAGCAGGGGAUCUUCGGACCUUGCGCGAUUGAAUGAGCCGAUGUCGGAUUAGCUAGUUGGCGGGGUAAAGGCCCACCAAGGCGACGAUCCGUAGCUGGUCUGAGAGGAUGAUCAGACACACUGGAACUGAGACACGGUCCAGACUCCUACGGGAGGCAGCAGUGGGGAAUAUUGGACAAUGGGCGCAAGCCUGAUCCAGCCAUACCGCGUGGGUGAAGAAGGCCUUCGGGUUGUAAAGCCCUUUUGUUGGGAAAGAAAAGCAGCAGGUUAAUACCCCGCUGUUCUGACGGUACCCAAAGAAUAAGCACCGGCUAACUUCGUG
rnacentral:rRNA from 1 species